rnacentral:rRNA from 1 species
UACCUACGGGUGGCUGCAGCAAGGAAUUUUCCGCAAUGGGCGCAAGCCUGACGGAGCAACGCCGCGUGUGGGAUGACGCUUUUCGGAGUGUAAACCACUGUUCAUGGGGACGAAGCACUGACGGUACCCAUGGAGGAAGGCCCGGCUAACUACGUGCCAGCAGCCGCGGUAAUACGUAGGGGUCGAGCGUUGUCCGGAGUUACUGGGCGUAAAGCGCAUGCAGGCGGCUCAUUACGCAUGGCGUGAAAGCCCCCGGCUUAACCGGGGAGGGUCGUCGUGAACGGGUGAGCUUGAGGGUAUCAGGGGCUGGUGGAAUUCCCGGUGUAGUGGUGAAAUGCGUAGAGAUCGGGAGGAACACCUGUGGCGAAGGCGGCCAGCUGGGAUACACCUGACGCUGAGAUGCGAAGGCGUGGGGAGCGUACGGGAUUAGAUACCCCGGUAGUC